rnacentral:tRNA from 1 species
GGCCCGUUGGUGUAAUGGUAACAUUCCCGGCGGUGGGCAGGGAGACAUCGGUUCGAGUCCGAUACAGGCCA